AUUUCUCUGAGCGUCUGAGUGAAGGUGAGUGUGAGCAUAUACGUGAGAGCAGGUGCAAGACGGAACAACUGCGGUGAAGUGUCGACAUGUCGAGCGUGCAUCACACUUUUGAUGGCGUUCGGCGGUACUUGAGUUAGCCAGAUACUAGUCGCACCCCAGUGCCAAGUGAUCUUAUAGCAUUGUGUUCAUUGGCAGAGCUACGGGGCUAGAAACCAACUUGACUUGUGAAUCAUAGAAACAUCGUUGCCACUCGGUUCAAGUGCUUGGAGUUUUUUUUUUUCCCUCUUCCUCAAUGUUUGUAGGAGAAAAAAUGUGUGGACUGAUGUAGGAAUUUUUAAAAACUGUUGCGAAGUGUGAAGUUAUAUUUCUACAAAGAUUGAAAUUCAAUUUAAAAAAAUAAUUGUGAUUUAUUUUUUAAAAGUGUUCAAACUUCCGUUUUUUUUCUUUGUUGAACUGUUGUGAAGAAUUUGAAUGAAAAAGUGCUUGAAUCUACAAAGGGCAUACUUCUUUGAAUACGUAACUCUACUGUGGUAAUAAUUGUGUUCCCUUUAUUGUGUGGAUGGUUUGUUUGACUCGGAGGCUCCAUUCGAGGACUUACAGUAGGCCUAGGGGGCAACAUGCUCGAGAAGCCACUGACCAAUCGCCGACUAUGUCUCGGACAAACCAAGGAUUCAGUAUCGGACCAAUCAACGUUCUUCUUACAGUGACGCGCUAAAGACAUGGGCUUUGAAGCCCUACAGAACGUCAACCCUCCACCCCCACAGCCCCUACACAAGAGGAGCAAAACUACCCUGGACGCACACCUCUCGCCAACGUUUCAUCCUGCACACGACGUUCAAAGCAGCAAAGUGUGAUGUGGUUGCGGAGACUGCGAGGCGUGCUGUACUAUCUGCAGCUAACGUUGCUGUCUGCUGUGGUGGCGGCACACGUCAACAGCCAGCUCAAGACAUCUGACAACAGGCAGGUGCCGGGGAGUCCAGGUUUGGA